CUCUGUUGUUAAAGAAGAACAUAUCUGAGAGUAACUGUUCAGGUAUUGACGGUAUUUAACCAGAAAGCCACGGCUAACUACGUGCCAGCAGCCGCGGUAAUACGUAGGUGGCAAGCGUUGUCCGGAUUUAUUGGGCGUAAAGCGAGCGCAGGCGGUUUUUUAAGUCUGAUGUGAAAGCCUUCGGCUCAACCGAAGAAGUGCAUCGGAAACUGGGAAACUUGAGUGCAGAAGAGGACAGUGGAACUCCAUGUGUAGCGGUGAAAUGCGUAGAUAUAUGGAAGAACACCAGUGGCGAAGGCGGCUGUCUGGUCUGUAACUGACGCUGAGGCUCGAAAGUAUGGGUAGCAAACAGGAUUAGAUACCCUGGUAGUCCAUACCGUAAACGAUGAAUGCUAAGUGUUGGAGGGUUUCCGCCCUUCAGUGCUGCAGCUAACGCAUUAAGCAUUCCGCCUGGGGAGUACGGCCGCAAGGCUGAAACUCAAAGGAAUUGACGGGGGCCCGCACAAGCGGUGGAGCAUGUGGUUUAAUUCGAAGCUACGCGAAGAACCUUACCAGGUCUUGACAUACUAUGCAAAUCUAAGAGAUUAGACGUUCCCUUCGGGGACAUGGAUACAGGUGGUGCAUGGUUGUCGUCAGCUCGUGUCGUGAGAUGUUGGGUUAAGUCCCGCAACGAGCGCAACCCUUAUUAUCAGUUGCCAGCAUUAAGUUGGGCACUCUGGUGAGACUGCCGGUGACAAACCGGAGGAAGGUGGGGAUGACGUCAAAUCAUCAUGCCCCUUAUGACCUGGGCUACACACGUGCUACAAUGGAUGGUACAACGAGUUGCGAACUCGCGAGAGUAAGCUAAUCUCUUAAAGCCAUUCUCAGUUCGGAUUGUAGGCUGCAACUCGCCUACAUGAAGUCGGAAUCGCUAGUAAUCGCGGAUCAGCAUGCCGCGGUGAAUACGUUCCCGGGCCUUGUACACACCGCCCGUCACACCAUGAGAGUUUGUAACACCCAAAGUCGGUGGGGUAACCUUUUAGGAACCCAGCCG
rnacentral:rRNA from 1 species